GAUGAACGCUGGCGGCGUGCCUAAUACAUGCAAGUCCAGCGAACAGACGAGGAGCUUGCUCCUCUGACGUUAGCGGCGGACGGGUGAGUAACACGUGGAUAACCUACCUAUAAGACUGGGAUAACUUCGGGAAACCGGAGCUAAUACCGGAUAAUAUCUUGAACCGCAUGGUUCAAUAGUGAAAGUCGGUUUUGCUGUCACUUAUAGAUGGAUCCGCGCCGCAUUAGCUAGUUGGUACGGUAACGGCUUACCAAGGCAACGAUGCGUAGCCGACCUGAGAGGGUGAUCGGCCACACUGGAACGUGGACACGGUCCAGGCGCCUACGGGAGGCAGCAGUAGGGAAUCUUCCGCAAUAGGCGAAAGCCUGACGGAGCAACGCCGCGUGUGUGAUGAAGGUCUUCGGAGCGUAAAACUCUGUUAUGAGGGAAGAACAAAUGUGUAAGUAACUAUGCACGUCUUGACGGUACCUAAUCAGAAAGCCACGGCUAACUACGUG
rnacentral:rRNA from 1 species